GAGCGGCCGAUGUCUGAUUAGCUAGUUGGUAAGGUAAUGGCUUACCAAGGCAACGAUCAGUAGUUGGUCUGAGAGGACGACCAGCCACACUGGGACUGAGACACGGCCCAGACUCCUACGGGAGGCAGCAGUGGGGAAUUUUGGACAAUGGGCGCAAGCCUGAUCCAGCAAUGCCGCGUGAGUGAAGAAGGCCUUCGGGUUGUAAAGCUCUUUCAGUUGAGAAGAAAAGAUUGUAACUAAUAAUUGCAAUCCAUGACGGUAUCGACAGAAGAAGCACCGGCUAACUACGUGCCAGCAGCCGCGGUAAUACGUAGGGUGCGAGCGUUAAUCGGAAUUACUGGGCGUAAAGGGUGCGCAGGCGGUUCUGUAAGUCAGAUGUGAAAUCCCCGGGCUUAACCUGGGAACU
rnacentral:rRNA from 1 species